GCGAAUGUGGCGGAAUUGGCAGACGCACUAGCCUUAGGAGCUAGCGCCCGAGAGGGCAUGGGAGUUCGACCCUCCCCAUUCGCACCA
rnacentral:tRNA from 1 species